GUUGAACGCUGGCGGCAUGCCUAACACAUGCAAGUCGAGCGGAUGAAGGGAGCUUGCUCCUGGAUUCAGUGGCGGACGGGUGAGUAAUUCCUAGGAAUCUGCCUGGUAGUGGGGGAUAACGUCCGGAAACGGGCGCUAAUACCGCAUACGUCCUGAGGUAGAAAGUGGGGGAUCUUCGGUGCUCGCGCUAUCUGAUUAGCCUAGGUCGGAUUAGCUAGUUGGUGGGGUAAAGGCCUACCAAGGCGACGAUCCGUAACUGGUCUGAGAGGAUGAUCAGUCACACUGGAACUGAGACACGGUCCAGACUCCUACGGGAGGCAGCAGUGGGGAAUAUUGGACAAUGGGCGAAAGCCUGAUCCAGCCAUGCCGCGUGUGUGAAGAAGGUCUUCGGAUUGUAAAGCACUUUAAGUUGGGAGGAAGGGCAGUAAGUUAAUACCUUGAUGUUUUGACGGUACCAACAGAAUAAGCACCGGCUAACUUCGUG
rnacentral:rRNA from 1 species